GAAGACUUAGCUCAAAGGGAGAGCGCCGAUAGAAAUUCAGCGACGAGGCUGACGGUAGGAUGAGAGUUCGAGUCUUUCAGUGUUCA
rnacentral:tRNA from 1 species